CAUUUAUUCACUUUCCUGGAUCAAGACAAUUUGACAUUAGUUUUAAACUAAUGCAGAACCUGGAUAUGUUUUGGGUGAUUUUCCAUAGGACAAAAUCAGAUGGUAUCUGGAAAAAUAUAAAAGCUAUCCCACUCACAAAACAGGCUACAGUGUCCAUCAAUCUCCAGUUCCAGACAGAAGUAGUGGCUUUAAAUGACAUAAUGUACUGGAUAAAGAGACACUGUACAGUUGUGAGUGACCCACAAAAGAUUUAUGAUGAGAUUGGGCUAUGGAAUGGUGGAUGGAAACUGCAAGUUAAACUGUGGCAGACAGGGGGCGUUA